rnacentral:misc_RNA from 1 species
GAUGAAGAACGCAGCGAAAUGCGAUAAGUAGUGUGAGUUGCAGAAUUCAGUGAAUCAUCGAAUCUUUGAACGCACAUUGCGCCCUUUGGUAUUCCUUAGGGCAUGCCUGUUCGAGCGUCAUUUAAACCUUCAAGCUAAGCUUGGUGUUGGGUGACUGUCCGCUUCACGGCGGACUCGCCUCAAAAUUAUUGGCGGCCGGUACAUUGGCUUCGAGCGCAGCAGAAACGCGAACUCGGGCCCGUCGUAUUGGCUCCCAGAAGCUAUCUUCACAAUUUUGACCUCGGAUCAGGUAGGGAUACCCGCUGAACUUAAGCAUAUCAAUAAGCGGAGGA